UACAGAGGUGGCAAGCGUUGUUCGGAAUUACUGGGCGUAAAGCGUGCGCAGGCGGUGAUGUAAGACAGUUGUGAAAUCCUCGGGCUCAACCUGGGAACUGCAUUGGUGACUGGCAGGCUUUGAGUGUGGCAGAGGGAGGUAGAAUUCCACGUGUAGCAGUGAAAUGCGUAGAGAUGUGGAGGAAUACCGAUGGCGAAGGCAGCCUCCUGGGCCAACACUGGACGCUCAUGCACGAAAGCGUGGGGAGCAAACAGG
rnacentral:rRNA from 1 species